UGCCUGGGCACACCCAAACAAAGAGAAUCCGAAUUAGGUGCAAAACUAGUUCCAUUCUAGUAUCUGUUAGUAGAUAUUCUAAUAUCAGUAUGUAAACAUUUGCUAAACAAAUAUACAAGUGGUAUAGAUAGAAAUGGUGAGUAGUCCAAAACUAUGCAUCAAUCAAAUAUGGUGCCUGAACAUAUACCCAUUUAAAAAUUACUUAAGAAAAAAAUUAAAAUUAAAAUUAAAAUUGAAAAUAAAAAUAAUCAUCACAUGUUUUCCUGUCACUAGGCAAAUAUUUACUAAACAAAUAUACAGGGUAUGGAUAGAAAUGGUAAAUACUCCAAUAUUUUGCGUGCAUGUACAACACAAAACAGGAUGAUCUUGAGUACAUGCCUCCAAACUGGACAACUUGGGCUCCCCAGCUCCAGCCAACACCCAUUCCCAACCCACAUAGCCAGAAGACAAGUAGGACGAACAAAUCAAGCUAGGAUAAAAAUACUUGGCUGAAAAGCUCUUAGUCAAAUUUGUAGCUUUUUGUGCCGAAAGCAUUUAGGUGACAUGCUAAUAGAAGUAGAUCAUUAAAAGCAGCAUCUUUCAAGUUAUUUGAGCUACAAAAAGUGAAAGAAAACAAAGAAUCAAAGGGGAAAAGGAAAAAAGAAACCCUCCUGACCCAAGAAAUUGGACAACUCAUUAUGGAGUCAACUAACUGCAGAUUCCCAGACAGCUGGGACAAUGAAUUAACAACAAAACAGCUGAUUCAAUGUUUUUCAUCUUUUCUCCCUUUGACAAUUUUUGCAUGUUUGAUUUGUCUAGGUUCAACUGAGACACAGCCUGCUUAAACUUCUUCACUGCUUAAAAAUUCAAGAUUUUUGAGUAAAAUCAUUUAUGGGUAUAAAUAAACCAAAAUAAAAAAUAAAAGGAACCUGCUACAAGGAAAAAAAAAAAACCAGAUACAUUGCGCACAAGAAAACAAAAAAGGAUAUCAUUAAUAUAAAAUAAACUUACCCAUGUUAUGUGUUCAAAUGCCAAGUAACCCUUAUCACCAAAAUUGAAUUUUGUAUCAGCCUCCUUGAUUACGAGGACAUUCUCCAAUCUUAUGCCAAAGUUCCCAUCCUCGUAGUAACCAGGUUCUGGAAAACACAAUUUCAAUAUAAAAUCCAUUUUUUCUAGCAUAAAAGCAUUUUAAGGCUCUCACAAAAGGUGAAAGGAACAAGCAGAAAAUUUGGUGCCAACAUACUUCAGUACUCAAUUACAAAUGCCACUAUUUCAACACUCUAGUACUCAUUCAACAAAACAUAACCAAAGUUCUGGAUUCAAUUUGAAUAUUAUAAUAAGCCAAAUCCAGCUCCUGAGUAAAAUUAUAAAUUGAUUUCUAUAAACUUUCAUAAAAAAACCUUUGUAUAAACAUACACUAGCAAAAUAGAGGGGAAAAACUCAAGUAGACAAGCAAGAAGUUAGAAAACCCAGGCAUUGAAAAAAUGCAUGUAAGUAUUUGGGUAGACAGCCAGUGUCAAACAUCUACUUGGUCCUGCAUGAAGAGGACUCCUGACAGUUUGCAAUCUUACACCACCUUGGAUUUCCAUAGGAUAUGGCCUCAUGGAAGAUGAAUGAAGAAAGAAUUUCUACACCCAACCCAAGUGGUUGGAUCUAAGGCUGUACUGUAUCAAGAAAAAUUUAUUCUAUAAAUCCAACUUAAGGUAAUGAAGCUGUGAUACCAACCAUCUGUUACAGUCAUUGAAGCUUGUAAUGGCACAUGCCGAGCAGGCGUUCUGAAACUAAUUAAAUGGGGUCCUGCUCAAUAUAGUGCAAUAAAAAAAAAGGUAUAUUAGUUCGCAUCAAAGAACAUAUAAAAUAACAAGAGGAAGAACCCUUCAUUCAUCGCUUACCUUCAUGAACAUUAAGGUAAGAUCCAAUUCCAUGACCAGUUCCAUGUCGAUAAUCAAGGCCAUCCUUCCACAAUGGGACACGAGCAAGAAUGUCAAGUGUGUGUCCUGUAAAAAUUAUUUAUAAAAAUAAAUAGUGAAUUUAACAUCAUAUGUGCGCAUAUCUAUGUAUCUUUAAAUAGAACAAAGUUACAAGCAACAAAUUUGGCACAUAACAAAGAAAAUUGCUGGUCAACUAUGUGAUUUGGUGAUUCCUGAGGAUCUAUGCUGAAAUUUACCCCUCCCUUGGAACUAAAGAAGCCCAAUAAGCUACUAGCAAAUUAAAUGAACAAGAGAAAAAGCUCAUCAUACCAGCGGUUCCACUAGGAAAUCGAGCAUUACCCAGACUGAUAUGACCCUUGAGAACCUGCAUGAAAUCCAACAAAUCAAGCAAAAUGCUCAAGACCACAACAUAACUCCUAGAUAGAAGAAAUUUGUUAGCAAGCAUCUAUUAAGACAUUUUAUGAAGCAAAGGGCCUAAAAAGGUAAGCAUCUAUUAAGACAUUUUGAAUGUAUUUGUUGAAUAUAAUGUAUGUAUAGUAUACUAUCUUUCCUUGUUAAUAUAGGUCACAUGUAUGGUAGUUAGGACUCCUAGCCUUAUAUAUAUAUAUAUCUCUCAAUUGUAAGUAGAGAUUACAAUGAAUGAGAAUAAGGUUUUUCUCCUCUCUCUCUCUCUCUCUCUCAACAUGGUAUCAGAGUCAAAGGAGAAAACCUAAUUUUUUUUUCGGUUUAGCCGUGUACUCAAUUCCGGCGAACCGUCCAGUGACCGUGUUUUCACUCCGGUCCCCUCACUCUCUUUCCGAACCACCCCGGACAACCUCAUCGCCGUCGGAUCUCCACCACGCCGGCAACCUUUUCCGGCGAAAUUUUCCGGCGACCUUUUUUCCGGGCAAAGACCACAUAUUCCGAACCGCCGGAGGCUGAUCUACACGCCAGUGGAAACCCCACCGGCAACCGGCAUCUCACGCGCCCCCACGCGCUGCCCUUCUCCUCCGGACUGUCACCCACGCGCCGGCGCGUGACGGCGCGUGGCUCACUUUCCGGCCACUUCCGACACCUUUCCAGGCUCGUCCGGCGCCGUCUUGGCCUUCUAGCCCUCCGGCAGUCCUCCCCGAGCCCUGCAUCUCCAUUUUUUUCCCUGUUUUUGGCUUUCUUGCCAUUCCGGCCACCUCCGACAGGGCUCCCCCUCCAUCCCUGAGGCUUGGGUGCUACUUCUCUUCCUCUCCAGGCACGUCACGACCUUUUUUUCUCCAUUGAUUGCACCUCUCACAGCCGUGGUUUCACUGUUUUUCUCUCUCCGCCGAAAUCUGAACCCAUCUUAGGGCUCUCUUCGAUCCAAAUACGUGAAUAUGACCACCAAAAAUCAGAUCUUUACGUCUGUUCUCUCUGGAUCUCCUUUGAUUACCUCAGAGAAAUUGGUUGGCAGUGAGAAUUAUCUCUCCUGGUCUGCCUCUGUUGAACUUUGGUUUAUGGGUCAAGGAUAUGAGGAUCACUUGGUUACCCAGGAGGCAGAUAUCCCUAAGGUUGACCGCGAACAGUGGAGGAAGAUAGAUGCACAGUUGUGUAGUGUAUUAUGGCAAUCGGUUGAUCCCCGGAUUCUUCUUCAUCUUCAGGCCUAUAAAACUUGUUUUAAAUUUUGGACUCAGGCCAAAGGAUUAUACACGAAUGAUAUCCAGCGUCUUUAUAAGGUGGCUUCUGCUAUUGUCCAUCUCAGCCAACAGGACUUGGAUCUAUCGACUUAUAUUGGUCAGAUUACCUCUCUUAAGGAGCAGUUCUUGACUGUGAUGCCUCUUACUCCUGAUGUUGGGGCUCAACAAAUACAGCUUGACAAGUUCUUCAUGGUCCUUACUCUUAUUGGCCUCCGUCCGGAUCUUGAGCCUAUUCGUGAUCAGAUUCUUGGUAGUUCAUCAGUUCCGUCCUUGGAUGAUGUGUUUGCUCGCCUCCUCCGUAUCUCGUCCACUCAGACUUUGCCAUCUGAUAGCGCUUCAGAUUCUUCUGUGUUAGUUUCUCAAACUACCUCUCGAGGAGGACGCAGUGGUACCCGAGGUAGAGGCCAACGUCCUCAUUGCACCUAUUGCAAUAAACUUGGCCACACUCGCGAUCGUUGCUAUCAGUUACAUGGAAGACCUCCUCGCACUGCCCAUAUGGCCCAGUCCUCUGAUUCUCCGCUGCCUCAGACUCCGAGCUCCUCCGCAUCUCAGACAUCUCAGGCUUCUAUUGCCUCUGUUGCCCAGCCUGGUAAUGCCUCUGCCUGCCUUACCCACACAUCUUCUCUUGGACCCUGGAUUCUAGAUUCUGGAGCAUCUGAUCACCUAUCUGGUAAUAAGGAUCUUUUCUCCUCUAUUACUACUACCUCUGAUUUACCUACUGUUACCUUAGCUAAUGGUUCUCAAACUGUGGCUAAAGGUAUUGGUUUGGCCCUUCCUCUGCCUUCUCUACCUCUCACUUCUGUCCUUUAUACUCCUGAAUGUCCUUUUAAUCUUAUUUCCAUCAGCAAAAUCACUCGUACUCUUAAUUGCUCUAUUACCUUUUCUGAUAAAUUUGUGACCUUGCAGGACCGGAGUACGGGGAAGACGAUUGGCAUAGGACGUGAGUCUCAAGGCCUCUAUCACCUCACCUCAGAUUCAUCUCCUGCAGUUUGCAUUUCCACUGAUGCUCCUCUCCUCAUUCACAAUCGUCUGGGCCACCCUAGUCUCUCCAAGUUCCAGAAGAUGGUUCCUCGUUUUUCAACUUUGUUGUCGCUUCCGUGUGAGUCAUGUCAGCUUGGGAAACAUACUCGUGUCUCGUUCCCAAAGCGUUUGAAUAAUCGGGCAAAGUCUCCUUUUGAGCUUGUCCACACUGAUGUUUGGGGUCCUUGUCGGACUGCGUCUACUUUAGGAUUUCAGUAUUUUGUCACUUUCAUUGAUGACUAUUCUCGAUGUACUUGGUUAUUUUUAAUGAAAAAUCGAGCUGAGUUAUUCUCUAUUUUCCAGAAAUUUUAUACUGAAAUCCAAACCCAGUUCAAUAUUUCUAUUCGUGUGUUACGCAGUGACAAUGCCAGGGAAUAUUUUUCAGCCCAAUUUACUUCGUUUAUGUCUCAUCAUGGGAUUCUUCAUCAGUCUUCUUGUGCUCAUACUCCUCAACAAAAUGGGGUAGCUGAACGCAAGAAUCGACAUCUUGUUGAGACAGCUCGUACUCUCCUCCUCCAUAGUCAUGUUCCUUUUCGCUUUUGGGGGGACGCUGUUCUUACCGCUUGUUAUUUGAUUAAUCGUAUGCCCUCCUCUGUCUUACACGAUCAGAUUCCUCACUCCCUUCUUUUCCCUGACCAACCACUUUAUUUCCUUCCUCCUCGUGUCUUUGGUUGUACUUGCUUUGUUCAUAUUCUCACUCCUGGACAGGACAAGCUUUCCGCCAAAGCCAUGAAGUGCCUCUUUUUGGGAUAUUCCAGACUUCAGAAGGGUUAUCGUUGUUAUUCCCUUGAGACUCAUCGGUACUUUAUCUCCGCUGAUGUCACCUUCUUUGAGGACUCACCAUUCUUUUCCACCACUUCUGAGUCUCUUCCUGUUUCUGAAGUCUUGCCCAUUCCCAUUGUCUCCCCACCUGAUGCUAUGCCCCCUCGACCACUUCAGGUUUAUCAUCGCCGCCCUCGUGUCGUUGCUCCUCUCCCUUUUCCUGAGGCACCUGCUGACUCACUUCCUAUCCCUUCGGCUUCACCUGCCCCGGCUCUGCCUUCUCCUAAUGACUUACCUAUUGCUGUUCGGAAAGGUACUCGCUCUACUCGUAAUCCUCAUCCUAUUUACAAUUUUUGAGUUAUCAUCGAUUAUCUUCACCCUAUUCUGCUUUUGUUUCUGCUAUAUCCUCUGUUUCUCUUCCAAAGAGCACCCAUGAAGCUCUUUCCCAUCCAGGCUGGCGACAGGCAAUGGUGGAUGAAAUGGCUGCUCUGCACUCUAAUGGCACUUGGGAUCUUGUUGUUUUACCCUCUGGUAAAUCUACAGUUGGUUGUCGUUGGGUCUAUGCAGUUAAGGUUGGUCCUGAUGGUCAGGUUGAUCGCCUUAAGACCCGUUUAGUUGCUAAAGGCUAUACUCAAGUUUAUGGUUCUGAUUAUGGUGACACAUUCUCCCCUGUUGCCAAGAUUGCUUCUGUCCGCUUGCUUCUCUCCAUGGCUGCUAUGUGUUCUUGGCCUCUUUAUCAGUUGGAUAUUAAAAAUGCCUUCCUUCAUGGUGAUCUUGCCGAGGAAGUUUAUAUGGAGCAACCUCCUGGUUUUGUUGCUCAGGGGGAGUCUGGUUUAGUGUGCAGGUUACGCCGUUCUCUAUAUGGCUUGAAACAAUCUCCUCGAGCAUGGUUUAGCCGUUUUAGUUCUGUUGUUCAAGAGUUUGGCAUGCUUCGCAGUACAGCAGACCAUUCAGUUUUUUAUCAUCAUCACUCCUUGGGGCAGUGUAUUUAUCUGGUUGUUUAUGUGGACGACAUCGUCAUUACAGGCAGUGAUCAGGAUGGUAUUCAGAAACUAAAGCAACAUCUUUUUACCCACUUUCAGACCAAAGACUUGGGGAAACUCAAGUAUUUCUUGGGAAUUGAGAUAGCUCAAUCCAGUUCUGGUGUGGUCCUUUCCCAAAGGAAGUAUGCUUUAGACAUCCUGGAAGAAACCGGUAUGUUAGACUGUAAACCGGUAGACACACUCAUGGAUCCGAAUGUCAAACUUAUACCAAGACAGGGGGAGCCUUUAGGAGACCCCGGGAGAUAUCGACGGCUCGUAGGUAAAUUGAACUAUCUCACCAUUACUCGUCCAGACAUUUCUUUUCAUGUGAGUGUUGUUAGUCAAUUCCUACAGUCACCAUGUGAUAGCCAUUGGGAUGCCGUAAUCCGUAUCCUUCGAUAUAUCAAAAGUACACCAGGCCAAGGUGUAUUGUACGAGAACAGAGGUCAUACUCAAGUUGUUGGUUACACAGAUGCAGAUUGGGCUGGCUCACCCACAGAUAGACGUUCCACUUCAGGGUACUGUGUUUUUAUUGGAGGUAAUCUAAUAUCUUGGAAGAGUAAGAAACAAGAUGUAGUGGCCAGAUCUAGCGCUGAAGCCGAGUAUCGAGCUAUGGCUUUGGCAACAUGUGAACUCAUAUGGUUGAGACAUCUUCUUCAGGAGUUGAGAUUUGGAAAGGAUGAACAGAUGAAACUCAUCUGUGAUAACCAGGCCGCAUUACAUAUUGCAUCCAAUCCAGUCUUUCAUGAAAGGACCAAGCAUAUUGAAGUUGACUGUCAUUUCAUUAGAGAGAAGAUCGCAUCAGGAUGUGUUGCUACAAGUUUUGUCAAUUCAAAUGAUCAACUAGCAGACAUCUUCACUAAAUCCCUCAGAGGUCCUAGGAUUAAAUAUAUUUGUAACAAGCUUGGUGCAUAUGACGUAUAUGCUCCAGCUUGAGGGGGAGUGUUGAAUAUAAUGCAUGUAUAGUAUACUAUCUUUCCUUGUUAAUAUAGGUCACAUGUAUGGUAGUUAGGACUCCUAGCCUUGUAUAUAUAUAUCUCUCAAUUGUAAGUAGAGAUUACAAUGAAUGAGAAUAAGGUUUUUCUCCUCUCUCUCUCUCUCUCUCAACAGUAUUCAAUAAAAAAAAUUAUAAAAAUCAGUAGAACAUUUUAUGAAAUAUGAACAAAAAACAUAUGAAUUUAUAUUCUGGGAUAAGGCUACUUCCUUUGCAAACACCUAAAAUGCAACUUCAGAAAACUCAACGAAGUUUUAUCCCACUACUUUGUUCAUAUUGGAAUUGAUACUUGAUCUCCAACCGAAAGACUGGAAAUUUCAAAGUUGAAAAGUAAUGUCACGAUAGAUAAGUAUUAGAGUUCGCAGUGAACUGCACUGGUGUAGCCAUAACGUGCUGACAGGCAGGCAGUGAUAGUCAUAGCAUAGAAUGGUGCUAGAUAUGUAAAAGAUGAUGGCAGUGCAAACUUGCUGAGAAGGUGGUGAAGUGAUUGCGAUCAUGUCAUGAUUGUUUAUAGUAAGAGGAGCUAAUGGUGGAAAUAAAGGUGCCAAAAUUGAUAACAUGGGAUGCAGUGGAAAUUUUUGAGGUGUAUUAGGUGUGUUGAUACAUAUAGUCGCUUCCAGAUGAGAGGUCUGGAUACAACAACACAGGUUGAUGAGGAGGAAGAUUGUGUAAAAGGUAGCAACAGGUUCUAGGUGGGCAGUGGUAGUAUGGCCAUAGUAUUGGAGGUGAUAGAAGCAAUGAGGAGGAUAUAAAGGGUAGCGAACAAUUUGAUCAAUUUCCCCGUAAGUAAAAUGAAUGUGGAUAAGGUGGUAAUGGCUGUAACAGGAUAUCAAAGCAGAAGAUGGCAGAAGCAGUGACAACAGAAAUGGUGUUCCUAGGGGCCUAGCAGUGGUAGCAGUGGAUCUAUAAGGGGCUGAAAAAUUAGAAUUAGAACACAUUUCCAACUUUUGGAUGGACUUCUGUUCCAUCUCAAAAUGUUUUGAAAUAUGUUCAUUUCCAAGUCGACUGCAGUGACACCCUGAAAAAAUAUGGAACUUUUUCCGUACUUCAGAAUUGAAAACAACCAUAUUCUGUUUUGAAUGAACAAGGUUAAGAAGUGUUCAAAUGCCAAAUAAAUACAAGAUAUCCUGAAAAGAAAGCAACAAGAGCCACAUACCGCAGUAUAGCAUGCUUUCUCAUGUGAUGAAGGUUUUCCAAAAUGAACAGUUCGAGUUAUAUCAGUUGUUCCAUCUUGAUACUUCAAAGACACCAUAUCAUCAGUAAAGAAUAGCAAUAUCAUAAACACAAAGUUAAUACAAAAAAUGGACUUAUUGUAUUGCCUUCUUUGGUUAAUGGCUAUAUCCCAAACAAUUCAAGAUAGUUGGCAAACCUGCGCUCCAGAAUCAAAUAGAUAAAUGCUAUCGGGAUCUAACUCAGAACAUGUUUCUGCAUCUGGAGAAUAAUGAAUGAUAGCUGCAUUUGGACCAACCGAUGAAAUAGUAGGAAAACUUAAUCCUCUAAAAUGCUGCAAAAAGAAGCCAUCAAGAAUAUUACACAUAAUGCUAUCUAUUUAAUGAAAUACAAAGUUCUAUCAGAAGAUAGAGAAGAAUAACAAAAAUAAAACUAAUCUAGGAAAAACAAAAAUAUCACAAAACAAAUUACAUGAAAGGACUUAUCAGAAAUACAUCUCCUAGAAAAUCAUUCAAGCAAAAAGGGCGUCUUAAGUUACUUCAUAGUGGUAUUGAAGAGAUAGGACAAGUCUACAAUCAACAAUCAUGAUCAUUAUAAAAAAGUACAGCAACAAAAUCAACAAAUCCCCUUGUUCAAACUAUCAAUGCCAUCUGGUAAUGUUGAAAUGACACUUUUGACUGUCAGUAUAACAAAAACUUUUCUAUAAAGUACCUCUUUUGAUGCUCGAAAACUUUCUAGCUUAUCACUUGCAGAUACCUCUGUCAGUUUCAUAGUUUCCCUGACAAAGUUAGACAGACAAUAAUUAUCAAAAUAGAAACUAUUGUGUAGAAGCUUUUUUUUUAAAAAAAAAAAGAAACAAAUUCAAUAUGACCCAUGAUUUCAGACCCAUAACAGUGAAGUCUAGGAUAUUUAUAUGCACCUAGACAUCCAGAAGAAUUAAAUGUGGAUUAUACCCUGUGACGUUUAAGGAGUAGUAAAAUGUUUCUGACAAGUACAAGACUUAGCUUUCCUUUUAAUAGAAACCCCCAUCCAUACUUAUAAGUCAAAACACAUUUAUAUUAAAUAGGCACUGUUUUAUUUAUUUAAUACCCCCAUUGGCAUCAUUGAUGAAAGAGAUGUGAAUUUUAAUCUAUCUAUAUAUGCAAAGUAAAACAUCAUCAUGUAAUAAUCCAGAAAAUACAUUACAGUAAUUCAUUUUCUGUUACAGAGCAUGAUAUGCAUUGUGGGUCAAAAUCCAAACAACUUAAGCUUUUAGGAAAAUCGUCCAACAUGAUAUCAGUCUCAUUGAAUGGGAGGUCAUGAGUUCACACCUCACUGCAUGUUUAGUUCUCCAAUUUAUCGAGUCUACAUGCUUAACCCAAUUGCUUCGAAACUAACUUUCCAAACUAUACACACUUGAAAUAAAAUAACAACUUGGAGAAAGGCAUGAUCCUCUAGCAAUGAUAAGUGGGAAAAAAACGGAUGCAGAAGUUAGUCUACACCAUAUAUGCCUAUAUGAGUACAUUAACUAAAAACAAUGGUUAAAGGUAUAAGCAGACUAAUGGUAUCACUAAGUUCUACUGACAGUUGGUGUGAGUGAAACAAGUUGGUAGUAGCUGAUAAGCCAUGAUUUAACCAAAAUAAAAUAUUUAACAUCUAAAAGAAUCUCGAGAAAAAAUAAUAAUGCAACUCAUCGAGGGCCAAGUCUCCUUCUUCAUCUUCUUCUCUUUCUAAGACUAGACCCUUAGGUUUGGAAGUGGGCUGUUAAGUCAAUUAUUAGAAGUUGCAACAUUCAUAGGUGGGGACUUCCACUAGGCUCAUGGGAGUUGAAACUAGGUUGUUGAGGAUGGUGCUUCAAGAUGGAACAUCUAUGGUGUUUCCAAAAAAUGCGCAAGGGGAUUAGUAUGGAAGCCAUGGUUAGGUUAAAAGAGACACUAAGCUGUUGUUCAACGGGGUGAGGAUCCUCUCUUUGAAUGUUUUUUCACAAGUUAGUAGCUUUUAGGAGCUUUAUUGAGAUGCCAAUGUUGGGAUUUGAAAAGGAUGUAAUGUCCCUUUUGAGGAAGAUGGAGGCUAGGAGAGAGUAUAGUCUGUCUUUGAGGGCAAAGAGGAAGUCCAUAUGGAUAUCUCGGUUUGUGAGGGACCUUCAGAGGUUGGAAUACUCAGUUGGCUACAAAGAUUCUUCCAAAAAUGAAAGGGGUUGUGGGAGCAGCAGUUGAAACCCAACCCUGGUUGCAUGACAAAACUAAAAAUCCUUUCUUGGAAGGUCAAAGGAGCCAACAAAGACAUCAAGGGGGAGAUCUAGUUUACUUUCAAAAAUCCAAGAUAGAACAUAUGUCCACACAACUAGUGAGGAGCUAGGGAGUAGGAAGAUUUUGGGAGUGGGGAGCUGUGGAUGCCAGAGGACCAUCAGGAGGCAUACUAGUCAGUUAGGACCAUAGGGUGCUAGAAUUGAUUGGUAUAGAAGUGAGAGUUUUCUCUAGAGUUUAUGGGCUGAUCCAAGAGGGGAAAGAGAGGAUUUUUGGGGGUGGAUUUGAGGGCCAUAAGAGGUAUUUGGUAUGACCUGUGGUGCUUAAGAAAGAAUUUUAGUAUGGUCAAAUUUCUUGAGGGAAGGACAAAUUACCUAAGAAUGUCUUCUGAUAUGAAGCGCUUUUUGGAAGUCUUAAAGCUGAACUUGAGGGAUAUUGUGCUAGUUUGAGGGCGAUUCAUUUGGUGCGGUGGUCAGAAUUUUCAAUCUUCUUUGAGGCUUAACCACUUCUUAGGGUCAAAUGAUUGAAAGCAACAUUUUUCUGACCUAAUUCAAUGUGUUCUACCUCAACUGAUUUCAGAUCAUUCUCACAUGAUUUUAGAUGGUUGUGGGAUGCAGAGGGGUAAAUCUCCCUUUAGAAUUGAAAAUAUGUUGCUUAAAUCGAAAGGAUUCAAAUACCUAGUGAGGAACUAAUGGAUGGUAAUGUGAGUGGUUCUUUUAGUUACAUUCUGGUAGCAAAACUGAAAGGCCUCAAAUAGGAUUCAAAAAGGUGGGAAAAAAGGUCUUUAGAAAACAUCGUUACUAAAAAAUUUGAGGUCCUAAAGAGUGGUUCAUUUAGUUACAUUCUGGUAGUAAAACUGAAAGCCCUCAAGUAGGAUUCAAGAAGGUGGGAAAAAAGGUCUUUAGAAAACAUUGUUACUAAAAAAUUUGAGGUCCUAAAGCAGAUCGGUUUCCAGGAUUCUAAGGAAAGAGAUGCAGUCCUCACUGUUGAAGAGUCUACGAGCAAAAGGUUACUUGUAGCUGAGUUUAACAAGUGGACCUCAUUGGAAGAAGUGAUGAGGAGGCAGAAAUUAAGACAAACCAUGCCAAAAGAGGAGAAUAAAAGUACAGGAUAAAAAUACCAAAUUCUUUCAUAAAAUGACCGAUGCACACAGGAGAAACCAUUUGUCCAAAGUCAGUGUCAAUGGGAAUCUAUUGAUCGAGGAAGUGGAUAUUAAUGAGGGGUGUCUUGGGCUUUCCAAUAUUGCUCCUACUGAAGUAAGGGAUUGGAAACCCAGCAUUAGUGGGAUGCAAUUUGAAAUGCUAGGAAGCAAUGAUCCUAGGAAAUUGGAGGCACCUAUCUCUGAGAAGGAAUCCAAUUUAUGCAGGGAUAAACCAAGGUCAAAUGGUUUUACCAUAGCAUUUUGAGAGAUGAGUUGGGACUUCAUAAAAACCGGGAUGAUGGGCUUCUUCAGGGAGUUCUUUGAUAAUAGCUCCUUUGAGAGAAUCCUAAAUGCUACUUUCUUAAUCUUGAUUCCAUAGAAAGGUGGAGUUGAGGACUUCAAAGAUUUCGGACUCAUUAGUUUAGUUGGGCGGGUGUGUAAGCUCCUAGUUUAAGUUCUAGCCAAUCAGCUCAAAAAGGUAGUAGGCAAGGUGGUUUCAAUUGACCAACCAGCUUUUGUGUAGGUCAAACAAAUUUGGGAUGCAACCCUUAAUGAGAAUGAGGCUUCAGAUUCAAUGCUAAAGAGCACCAAUAGCAAGGUCAUCUGUAGGUUGGACAUUGAAAAAGGAUAUGAUUAUGUAAAUUGGGACUUCUUGAUAACGGUUUUUGAGAAAAUGAGCUUUGGCCAAAAAUGGGUGAGAUAGAGCAAAUGGUGCAUUUUUAUGAUGAGAUUCUCCAUUGUAGACAACAUAGUCCUGUCUCAUUUUUUCUAGAGUUCAAGGGGAUUGAGGUAAGUAGACCCUCUUUCCUUUUACCUCUUUAUUUUGGAAAAUGAGGAAAUUAGCUAGAUCCUAAGGAAGGUCAAUGAAAAGAGGUUUCAUCUUGGGAUUCAAAAUAGAAAGAAUGGGUGGGGAGGGAAUGGAAGUUUUGUUAUUCACUAACAACACCUUAAUUUUUUGUGAUGCUAACCAAGAGCAAUUGAAGCAUCAAAGGACUAAGCUAGCCUUCACACAAUUUUAGACAAUAUAUGAUUUACGGAGAAAAAUGAGCUAAUUCUGAUAAAGUUGCAAAUAUGGAGAGUCUAACCUCAAUAUUGAUCUAUAGGAUUGAGAGCCUACCUACUACAUAUUUGGGUCUAUGUUUGGGUACUCCUCACAAAUCAAUACUGAUAUGGGAUUCAGUGGAGACGAGACUUCACAGAGAGCUAGCCUCUUAUAAGAGGCAAUACCUAUCAAAAGGAAGGACACUUACCUUGAUCAAAAGCACAUUGUCAAGCCUACUAAUUUAUUUCAUGUCUCUACUUAUCAUUUGAGCUGGGUAAGCUUAAGACUAGAGCAGAUCCAAAGGGAUUUCCUAUAGGGUGGAGGGCACUUGAGAGAAAGUCAGUCUACAAUUUGUUUGGACCAAAAGGAUUGAGGACUUGGCAUAAAAAAUUUCCAUACUUCUAAUAAGACUUUUCUUAGUAAAUGGAACUAGAGAUUUGCCUUUGAGAGAGAGAAUGGGACAAAAGAUGCGAAAUGGUGCUUAAGGGUGGUAAGCAAUGGUUAUAGGGUAGGGUUGUGAAAGGAUAUUAGAAUCAGGUCCGAAAUCUUUAGAAGUAGAGCUCGCUCAUGAUGGGUAAUGGCAGGAGGGAAAAAUUUUAGAUAGAUAGAAGGCGUCGAGAAAGUUCUUUAGAAGAGUCUUUACCAGUAUUGUUUUCAAUAGCCACUAAUAAAGACUCUUUGAUGGCAGAUAUAUGGGAACAAGAUAGGGAGGAAGGCUGGUGAAGUCCUCAUUCCAUAAACAAUUCCAUGAUUAGGAAUUGAAAUGAGUGGAGGUCUUUUUAUGAAGAUUGCAAUCAACCUUAAUUAGAAGGGAUAAGGAGGACAAAUCAGGGGUUGGAAGGCACAAUGAUAGAAACUUGGAGAUUCCUUUUACUAAGGAAGAAGUGUUAGCCGCCUUGUCCAAUCUGUGUAGAGAUAAAGUUCCAAGGUAAGAUGGUUUUAUGGUGGCGAUUUGUACAUGAGCUAGGAUUUUGUAAAACCUGAGGUAGUGGUUUUCUUCAAGAAGUUCUUUGUCAUUAGAUCUUUUGGAGAAGCUUAAAUGACUCCUCCUUGGUCUUGGUCCCCAAAAAAAAAAGACAGAGCUAAGGACCUAAAUGAUUCCAGACCUAUUAGCUUAUUUUUGGGGUUAUAAGCUCCUAGCAUAAGUCCUAGCCAAUAGGUUCAAAAAGGUGUUAAGGAAAGUGGUCUCAAUUUACCAGCAUGCUUUUAUGGGGGGUAGACAAACUCUAUAUGCUUAGUGUCACAAGAUGCUUCAAAUGACCCUCCCCAUGGGCUUAUAUAAGAGGUAGGAAGCUUCUAGAGACCCUUGGAGACAUCUACACUUAGCUACAAGGUGGAAGAGUGUGGAAGCUUUUAGAAAAGGCUAGAGAUGUCCACACAUCUCUACACUUGGCUAGGAGACCACUGGAAAAGUGUGGGGUGUUCUAGAAUCUUCCAAAGUCAUCUUAUACAUGACCUUGUACAUAGACUAGUGUAGGAGCUUCUAGAUUAUUCUUGAUUUGUAAAGAACCCUUCAAGGUUCUAGAGACUUCCUAAGGUGCCUAUAAAUAGGUUAAGGCCUCAUUUGGCCAAGGUACCACCCAAAAUCAUUUCCUAACCAAGCAAGUGAGUUCCAAAGCACUUGUAAAGCUUCCUUUGAGCAAUAAAAGCUUCCAUUCUUCAAGAAUUGCCUACUACGCCUUCUAAAGUUUCCAAGUCGUGAGCAUCUUAACCUAGCAAGCUAAGCAUCGGGAAUAAGGUUGACUUAGUAAGAUCAAAUGUCUUAACUUGUCUAAGUACCACACAAGCUUAAGAAAAGACUAAGUCCGUGACAGUUGGUAUCAGAGCGUAGCUACGAAGCGUGCAUAGUAAAGGAAGCAUGUCGGGCUCCAACAUGGCCGAGACUAGUGAGCAAACCCGUAGGAGGGAGACCGAGCCUACUGCACGGGGCAGGGGUAGGAAGGAUAAAUCUCAUAAUGCCAUAGCCAACAUGGAGGCAAGGCUAGCCAAGGUGGAGCUAGCCAUGGCAGACACCCGGGAAGGAGUGGACUUGAUCGAGCAAGGCAUGGAGAAAGGCUUAGAGGAUCUGAGGGAGCAUAUCCAAGAAUGGCAGACACCCGGGAAGGAGUGGACUUGAUCGAGCAAGGCAUGGAGAAGGGCUUAGAGGAUCUGAGGGAGCAUAUCCAAGACCUUCGUGAGGAGGUGCUAGGCUCACAAGUUCAGCCGGUGUCACAUGAGGAGUUCAUGUCCUUUCAAGACAAGGUCAUGAGCAUGUUUGCUAGCAUGGAGUCAAGAGUGGAGGCAUUGGUUGCACGCAUGGAGGCCCGAGACCAGGAGGUUCGACAAAAGCCGGCCAUCUACAAGAUUGUCGUAUCAACACGAGUCAUAGCCACUCAUGAGGCACCAAGGGUGGAGGUGCCCAAGCCACACACAUUCAAUGGCAAAAGGGAUACCAAGAAGCUAGACAACUUCUUGUGGCACAUGGAGCGCUACUUUGAGGCUAUCGCACUAACGGAUGAAGACACUAAGGUACAUACCGCGACCCUCUACCUCAUCGAUAAUGCUACUCUAUGGUGGCGUCGAAGGUUUGUUGAUAUAGAAAAAGGGACAUGCACCAUAGACACAUGGGAUGCCUUUAAGCGAGAGAUCAAAAGACAAUUCUACCCUGAGGAUAUGGCUUACCUAGCAAGGAAAAACAUGAAGCGUCUCAAACACACGGGCUUGAUCCGUGAAUAUGUCAAAGAGUUCUCUACACUUAUGCUUGAGAUAUCCAACAUGUCCAAGGAGAAGCUACUAUUCAACUUAAUGGACAACUUGCAAAGUUGGACCGAGCAAGAGUUGAGGAGACGUGGUGUCCAAGACCUAGCCAUGGCCAUGGCAAUAGUAGAGUCUUUAACGGAUUACAAGAGGGGAGACUCCUCCAAGAUUAAGUCUUUGGAGAAUAGCCAUGCUAUGGGUGGGGGAGACGAGGUUUCAAGGGACCACAAUGCUCCUAAAAUGGGAUAAGGCAAGACGUGGGAAGGAAGGGGUAAGGCAGAAAGGAAGGAGUUUACGCCUAAAAUCAAAUGCUUCCUAUGUGACGGUCCACAUUGGGCAUGGGAUUGUCCAAAAAAGAAAGUGCCCAGUGCCAUGAUUGAGGAGAGAGAAUAGGAAGAUGAAGCACAUAUGGGCUUGGUGCAACUACUAGGUGCCCUCCAAGUCAACCCAAAGCCUAGUAUGCCUAAGACCUCCUUACUAUCGGGGGUGCAAGUAAAAGAGGCAAAAGGGGAGCAAGCUAAGGUAGCCCACACACACAUGGACAAGGUCACCAAGAGAAAGGUGAACUCAAUGGGCAAGAGGAAGCAGCACUCCAAGCAUCGAAAGUGUAGGUGUCUGCAUCCAUCCUAGGCCUCACGGGAGAAGGAGGUGAAAAAUACCCUGGUUGAACGAGUCACCAGGAGACAAGAGUUCCCUCCCGUGAUAGAGUAUCUAGUUCAAUGGAAAUGACUACCUAAGAGGCAGGCAAGCUAGGAACAUGCAAAUACCUUGAGAAGGUUCUGGAAACACAUUGAGAGGUUUCAAGAAGAGACAACAACGGGGACGUCGACGGCAUGGGUGGGGGAGAGUGUUACAAGAUGCUUCAAAUGACCCUUCCCAUGGGCUUAUAUAAGAGGUAGUAAGCUUUUAGAGACCCCUGGAGACAUCUACACUUAGCUACAAAGUGGAAGAGUGUGAAAGCUUCUAGAAAAGACUAGAGAUGUCUCACACAUCUCUACACUUAGCUAGGAGACCACUGGAAAAGUGUGAGGUGUUCUAGAAUCUUCCAAAGUCAUCUUGUACAUGGCCUUGUACAUAGACUAGUGUAGGAACUUCUAGAUUGUUCUUGAUUUGUAAGGAACCCUUCAAGGUUCUAGAGACUUCUUAAGGUAGGUUAAGACCUCAUUUGGCCAAGGCACCACCCAAAAUCAUUUCCUAACCAAGCAAGUGAGUUCCAAAACACUAUUAAAGCUUCUUUUGAGCAAUAAAAGCUUUCAUUCUUCAAUAAUUGCCUACUACGCCUUCUAAAACUUCCAAGUUGUAAGUAUCUUAGCCUAGCAAGCUAAGCAUCGGGAGUAAGGUUGACUUAGCAAGAUCAAGUGUCUUGACUUGUCUAAGUGUCAUACGAGCUUAGGAAAAGAAUAAGUUCGUGACAUUAGGCUCUAGUUUAAAAAAAGUCUAAUAGUGGCAUUAUUUGUAAACAAGACAUUGAAAGGGCUAUGAACAUGUAAAUUGGGAUUUCCUACUAAGGGUACUAGUUAAAAUGGGCUUCAGUAAAAAAUAAGUGAGAUGGAUCAAAUGGUGUAUAUCUAAUACAAAAUUUUAUGUCCUUGUCAACAAGAUUUAAACCAGUGUUUUCUAGAGCUCCAUAGGUUUAAGGUAGGGAAACCAUCUUUACCUCUACCUUGUCAUUUUGGGGAUGUAGUCUUUCAAUCAGAUUUUAAGAAGGGUACGAGAAAGGGCCUCCAUAUUAGAAUACAAAGUUGGAGAAAGAGUUGGCAAGGGUAUGGAAUUGUCCCCUUGUUGUUUGCUAAUGACACUUUAAUUUUCUAUGAUGCUAACCAAGAGUAGUUGGAGCACCAAAGUUGGGCUUUCAUUUGAUUUGAGGCAAUCUCUGGCCUAAAGACAAUGAACAUGGAGAAACAUGAGCUUAUUAUGGUAGAGGAAGUUAAAAAAAUGGAAAGCCUUGUUGAUUAUAAUGUAGGAAAUCUGCCUACUACAUAUCUAAGCCUUCCUUUGGAAGCUCCUCACAAAUUAAUGAGAAUAUAAUAUUCAAUGGAGGAGAGAUUUCAGAGAAAGCUUGCCUUGUAGAAGAGACAAAAUCUCUCAAAUGGGCUUACCUUGAUCAAAAGCUCAUUGUCUAGCUUGCCUAAGUUAAACUAAAUCCAAAGGGAUUUUCUUUGGCCAAAGGAGGUGGGGGGGGGGGGGGGGGGGGGGGGGAUAAGGAAAAACCCCAUUUAGUUAAGUGGUCUAUAUCCAUUUAGGCAAGAGUGGAGCUCUUGGUAUAAAAAAUCUUCAUAUUCUUAACAGAGUUCUUUUGGGCAAAUGGUGAUAGAGAUUUACUACCGAGAGUAAGUCCCUUUGGAAGCAAGUCAUGGUACAAAAGUUAGAGGUAGAAAAAGGGAGUUGGUGUUUAAGGGAAGUGGGGGAUUUCCAUCGAGUGGGUUGUGGAAGGCUAUUAGAGUUGGAUAGGUCUUUAGAAUUAGAUAUCACUUCAUUGUUAGUAAUGGCAAAAGGGUAAAAUUUCGAAAAGAUAGAUGGUGCGGAGAAAGUUCUUUAGAAGAACCAUUCCUAAUGUUGUUUUCUAUAGUUGUUGCUUAAGACUCUUGGGUAGCAAAGUUAUGGAAGUAGAUUGGCAAGGAAAACUAAUGGAGUCCCUAAUUUCACAGACAAUUCCAUAAUUAGGAAUUGGAAAGAGUGAAGACCUUCCUCUAAAGACUGCAUUCAUGUUCGAUAAUAGAGGAAGUGGAGGAUAAAUUGGGCUCGAAGGAAACUAAGAGUGACAAUUUCUCUAACAAAUCUUUCUAUGCUUCCUUAACCCCAGGAAGAAGUGUGCCCUUCCCCACAAGCCCAGUUUAGGGUGCUGUUCCAAGGGCACCUCAAAUCAAAGGAUCUUGAGAAGGUUAAUCCCCAGCAUCAACCCUUAUGCUUGGUGUCUCUCACUAACAAGCAUAAAGGGGAAUCAAACCAAGAGCCUCUAUCCCAACCCUAUUCAGUGGUAAGGUGAGAUAAUGUCAACAGCAUUAAGUCUUUGUCAGGGAUCACCCAGCCUUAGCCUUAACUCAGGCAGGCAUCAAGCAUUAUGGCAUGGUGUCAAGAACAUCUAUGAGGGAUUUUGAGAAGGUUAGUGCCCAGCAUUGACCUAGCACUUGGUGACUCACAAUAUUGAAUGUAGACACCCCUUUCUUGGAGGUGGAGGAGAAAGCAAAGAGAAUAUGUAAAGCUUCUUGAGGCCCUUGUUGGUUAGGACUCUGAAUGACAGCAUGCUUAGCAUUGAGGCCUCUUUGUAAAACCAAGCCAACUGUUCACAUGUAUCCUAUGGAUAUAAAGCCAAGCAGGUACUAGACAAAUGAUGUAUUAACAAUAAAACAUUAAUAUAUCAUAGUAUUGCACAAGAUUUAGCAAAACCCAAUGUUUUCAUAACUGGAUUGACCAUUGAAUCGAAAAUAUUACCGGUUCACGGUUCAUUGGUCAAACCCGUGGUUGAACCACGGUCAAAACAAUGACGUCAUAAGUAUAUAAUUUAUAUAUUAUUAAAAUUAAAAAUAUUUAUAAAAAAUUA
rnacentral:lncRNA from 1 species